ensembl:snoRNA
ACAGAGACUAGAGUCACAUCUUGACACAACUCUGGUCCUGGUGUGUUGAGGUCUGGGGGAGAGAAGCUGCUGGUCAUGAUUCACAGACCGGGCAUCCAGUGCCUCUAUUAGUGCUCAGACCAGUAACAUUC